UACGUAGGGUCCGAGCGUUGUCCGGAAUUAUUGGGCGUAAAGGGCUCGUAGGCGGUCUGUUGCGUCGGGAGUGAAAACUUACAGCUUAACUGUGAGCGUGCUUUCGAUACGGGCAGACUUGAGGCAUUCAGGGGAGAACGGAAUUCCUGGUGUAGCGGCGAAAUGCGCAGAUAUCAGGAGGAACACCGGUGGCGAAGGCGGUUCUCUGGGAAUGUCCUGACGCUGAGGAGCGAAAGUGUGGGGAGCGAACAGG
rnacentral:rRNA from 1 species